GGUACUUCCUUCUUUGGAACUGCUUCUUGCAUGAGCUGUUUCGGAUAUUUCGUCUCCUGGCCUGGCUUAUUUCGUUUCGGCGUUGCUGAGACCUCCUUUCGCGGAAUAUUACUCAAGGACAGUGUGCGAAGAACGCGAGUUCACCUUCUUGACGAAAAUCGCGGACUAACAGUUUGAAGUCAUUGAACUACUUCCAAGAGUUGUAUCGACAUCAACAGGAUUACGAUUUCAGUGCAAUAUGAUGCAGGAUGACCUUAUCACGAUAACCAAUAAACACAGAAUCAACCAUAACAUCUGUGACACGCACCUACAUUUCUCAAGUAUAUCUGAUCGAGGGUGGGGAAAUCUGAAAUAUCUGAAAGGCAAGACAAUUUUAUGACAGUCAUGAAAUUCUGCAACAGCAACAUGCACAGAAUGACCUGCGUAUAAAAAAAGACUCACCACCACUAACCACAUGUUUCCCCAGCAGAAGAACAUGCGUUGUGCUAGUGCCAUUUUCUGCAAGAAAAGGCUGCAGCAAUAAAUACGGUAUUGAUAUGAUGUGAAGGCCAUCAUUUACACAUAUUGGGCAUUCCAUUGAUU